CAUGAAGUUAUGAUUAGAAAAGUAGCUGUUUAGCAUCCAUAAAGAGAGCUCCGCUGGUGAGAAGGAGUUGGUUACGGCAGUGAACCACAUCUAUGAACUGGUAAUCUGAAUUAAGUAGGAUUACCCGCUAGCGAGCGUUACCACUGCUACCGUAACUGUUCUUUUGAUUAUAUUAUCAAGACGACUAGUUAUUGGCAGUGUGAGGUCACUUACCGUGAGGUGGUGACAAAACGAGGUGGAACCGCGAGUUAAUUCGUCCCCGGA
rnacentral:ncRNA from 1 species